UGGCUCUCGCAUCGAUGAAGAACGCAGCGAAAUGCGAUAAGUAAUGUGAAUUGCAGAAUUCAGUGAAUCAUCGAAUCUUUGAACGCACCUUGCGCUCCUUGGUAUUCCGAGGAGCAUGCCUGUUUGAGUGUCAUUAAAUUCUCAACUUCUUCAACUCUUUGUUGAUGAGGCUUGGAAGUGGGGGGGUUUUGCAGGUCUGCCUUAGUUCCGCGGUCUGCUCCCCUGAAAUGUAUUAGCGGGUUGGCUUCCGUCUAUUGGUGUGAUAAUUAUCUACGCCGUGGAUGGGUUUGGCUUUCAGACCAGCUUCUAACCGUCCUUUUGGACAAACUCUUGACAUUUUUGACCUCAAAUCAGGUAGGACUACCCGCUGA
rnacentral:misc_RNA from 1 species